rnacentral:rRNA from 1 species
UGGUGCCAGCAGCCGCGGUAAUACAGAGAGUGCGAGCGUUAAUCGGAAUCACUGGGCGUAAAGCGCGCGUAGGUUGAUAUUUAAGUCGGAUGUGAAAGCCCUGGGCUUAACUUAGGAAUUGCAUCCGAUACUGGAUGUCUCGAGUAUAGUAGAGGGAAGUGGAAUUUCCGGUGUAGCGGUGAAAUGCAUAGAUAUCGGAAAGAACACCAGUGGCGAAGGCGGCUUCCUGGACUAAUACUGACACUGAGGUGCGAAAGCGUGGGGAGCAAACAGGAUUAGAAACCCCAGUAGUCCCG